GUUCUUAUAGUUGAAUAACAACGGUGGUUCUUCAAAUCAUUGGUCUCGGUUAGAGUCCGAGUGGGAAUU
rnacentral:tRNA from 2 species